rnacentral:tRNA from 1 species
GCUCGCGUGGUCCAACGGCAGCGACACCAGGCCCUCAACCUGGAGACGGCGGGUUCAACUCCCCCCGCGAGCACCA